AGCGGUAACAGGUCCAGCUUGCUGGAUGCUGACGAGCGGCGGACGGGUGAGUAACGCAUAGGAAUCUACCCGGUAGUGGGGGAUAACCUGGGGAAACCCAGGCUAAUACCGCAUACGUCCUACGGGAGAAAGGGGGCUUUGGCUCCCGCUAUUGGAUGAGCCUAUGCCGGAUUAGCUGGUUGGUGAGGUAAUGGCUCACCAAGGCGACGAUCCGUAGCUGGUCUGAGAGGAUGAUCAGCCACAUCGGGACUGAGACACGGCCCGAACUCCUACGGGAGGCAGCAGUGGGGAAUAUUGGACAAUGGGGGCAACCCUGAUCCAGCCAUGCCGCGUGUGUGAAGAAGGCCCUCGGGUUGUAAAGCACUUUCAGCGAGGAAGAACGCCUGUCGGUUAAUACCCGGCAGGAAAGACAUCACUCGCAGAAGAAGCACCGGCUAACUCCGUGCCAGCAGCCGCGGUAAUACGGAGGGUGCAAGCGUUAAUCGGAAUUACUGGGCGUAAAGCGCGCGUAGGUGGCUUGAUAAGCCGGUUGUGAAAGCCCCGGGCUCAACCUGGGAACGGCAUCCGGAACUAUGAGGCUAGAGUGCAGGAGAGGAAGGUAGAAUUCCCGGUGUAGCGGUGAAAUGCGUAGAGAUCGGGAGGAAUACCAGUGGCGAAGGCGGCCUUCUGGACUGACACUGACACUGAGGUGCGAAAGCGUG
rnacentral:rRNA from 2 species